rnacentral:rRNA from 1 species
CCUACGGGAGGCAGCAGUGGGGAAUUUUCCGCAAUGGGCGAAAGCCUGACGGAGCAAUCUCGCGUGAGGGAUGACUGCCUAUGGGUUGUAAACCUCUUUUUUCAGGGAGGAACAAAAUGACGUGUACCUGAAGAAUAAGCAUCGGCUAACUCCGUGCCAGCAGCCGCGGUAAU